GUGGGGAAUAUUGCACAAUGGGGGAAACCCUGAUGCAGCAAUGCCGCGUGAGUGAUGACGGCCUUCGGGUUGUAAAGCUCUGUCUUCGGGGACGAUAAUGACGGUACCCGAGGAGGAAGCCACGGCUAACUACGUGCCAGCAGCCGCGGUAAUACGUAGGUGGCAAGCGUUGUCCGGAUUUACUGGGCGUAAAGGGAGCGUAGGCGGACUUUUAAGUGAGAUGUGAAAUACCCGAGCUCAACUUGGGUGCUGCAUUUCAAACUGGAAGUCUAGAGUGCAGGAGAGGAGAAGGGAAUUCCUAGUGUAGCGGUGAAAUGCGUAGAGAUUAGGAAGAACACCAGUGGCGAAGGCGCUUCUCUGGACUGUAACUGACGCUGAGGCUCGAAAGCGUGGGGAGCAAACAGGAUUAGAAACCCCUGUAGUCC
rnacentral:rRNA from 1 species